rnacentral:rRNA from 1 species
UAGGGAAUCUUCGGCAAUGGGGGCAACCCUGACCGAGCAACGCCGCGUGAGUGAAGAAGGUUUUCGGAUCGUAAAGCUCUGUUGUAAGAGAAGAACGUGUGUGAGAGUGGAAAGUUCACACAGUGACGGUAACUUACCAGAAAGGGACGGCUAACUACGUGCCAGCAGCCGCGGUAAUACGUAGGUCCCGAGCGUUGUCCGGAUUUAAUGGGCGUAAAGCGAGCGCAGGCGGUUUAAUAAGUCUGAAGUUAAAGGCAGUGGCUUAACCAUUGUUCGCUUUGGAAACUGUUAAACUUGAGUGCAGAAGGGGAGAGUGGAAUUCCAUGUGUAGCGGUGAAAUGCGUAGAUAUAUGGAGGAACGCCGGUGGCGAAAGCGGCUCUCUGGUCUGUAACUGACGCUGAGGCUCGAAAGCGUGGGGAGCAAACAGG